rnacentral:rRNA from 1 species
CAGCAGCCGCGGUAAUACCGGCGGCCCGAGUGGCGGUCACUAUUAUUGGGCUUAAAGCGUCCGUAGCCGGGUUGGGAAGUCCUCCGGGAAAUCUGGCCGCUUAACGGUCAGAAUGCCGGAGGAUACUCCCAGCCUAGGGAGCGGGGGAGGCCGAGGGGAUUCCCGGAGUAGGGGGGAAAUCCUAUAAUCCCGGGAGGACCACCUGUGGCGAAGGCGCUCGGCUGGAACGCGUCCGACGGUGAGGGACGAAGGCCAGGGGAGCAAACCGGAUUAGAUACCCGGGUAGUCCUGGCUGUAAACGAUGCGGACUUUGUGUCGGACAAGCUAUGAGCUUGUCCGGUGCCGGAGGGAAACCGUUAAGUCCGCCGCCUGGGGAGUAUGGCCGCAAGGCUGAAACUUAAAGGAAUUGGCGGG